rnacentral:rRNA from 1 species
UACGUAGGGACCGAGCGUUGUCCGGAUUCAUUGGGCGUAAAGAGCUCGUAGGCGGCUGCUCAAGUCGAAUGUGAAAACUCGAGGCUCAACCUCGAGCCUGCAUUCGAUACUGGGCGGCUAGAGUCUGGUAGGGGGAUCUGGAAUUCCCGGUGUAGUGGUGGAAUGCGUAGAUAUCGGGAGGAACACCAGUGGCGAAGGCGGUUGCCUGGAGCUUUGCUGACGCUGAUGCGCGAAAGCGUGGGGAGCGAUCCGG